rnacentral:lncRNA from 1 species
AUGUAGAUGGGAAAAUGUUACCAUUGGAUUUUUAAAUGGAUUUUUCUUGUUUCUUAGAACUACAAAUAAUUCUAUUAUUAUUGACAGAUGAAGUUUAACUAGAAACAAAACAGAUUACAUAAAUACCCAAUGCAGAAAGUUGGAAUAGAUCUUAGUAAACUUUGAAAAAUAAAAAGUUAAAUUGAAGAGUAGAUAUUAAUGAAAUAGCUGGAUAUGGUGGCACAUACCUAUAAUCCUAGGUACUUUAGAGGCUGAGGCAGGAGGAUCACAGGUUCCAGGCCAACCUGGGCAAUUUAGCAAAACCCUGUCUCAAAAGUUUUAAGGUGGAUGUGGUGGCACACACCUAUAAUCUCAGUGGUUUAGGGGACUGAAACAAUAGGAUUGAAAGUUUGAGACCAGCCUCAACAAUUUAGCAAGGCUCUAAACAACUUAGUGAGACACUCAAGAUGAGGUAGGAGAAUUGCGAGUUCAAAGCCAGUCUCAGCAAAAGCAAGAAGCUAAGCAACUCAGUGAGACCCUGCCUCUAAAUAAAAUACAAAAAGGACUUGGCGGGUAGGGCAGGGAAGGACUAUGAAUGUGGCCCCUGCAUUCAUUCCCUGGUACCCCCCCAAAAAAAAAUUCCUAGGGGAAAAAUAUUGAAAGUACACAAUGACACAAUUAGUAUAAGAAAAAAACAUGAAGCUUAAAUAUAACAAAAUACAUUAGUGAAAUUGCAAAGGUGAUCAGGCACCUCCCCUUCACAAAGCGCCAGGCUGAUUUUUAAUUUCAAAAUCUAGUGAAAAUAAUGCAAUAAAAGAUGAACUCAUUUCACUUAUGAAUACUGGUGCAAAAAUCCUAACAUAGUGUAUGUCUACAUCUAGGUCUUACAAUAAUAAAAGAGUUUAGCUCAGCAUGGUAGCUCACAUCUAUAAUCCCCAGCAACUCAGGAAGCUGAGGCCAAAGGACCAGCCUCAGCAAUUUAUCCAGGCCUUAAGCAAUUUAGCUAGAGUCUGUCUCAAAAUAAAAAGAACUGGGAAUGUUGCUCAGUGGUAAAAUACUCCUUGAUUCAAUCCUUAGUAUUUAAAAAAAAACAGGUGAUUUAAUGUCAGAAAAAAUAUUUUUCAGUGUAAUUCAUGUUGAGGAAAAUAAUAUUUCUGUAGAUUUGGGAAAAGUUAAUGGAGUUACACCUAUAUAUGAUAAAAUUGAUGAUAUAUGAUAAAAUUGUUCUGUCAGUAAAAAAAGGGUAUUUCUUUAAUUGAUAAAUGGUUUGCCAAAAACCCACAGCAAAAGUGUGUGUGUGUGUGUGUGUGUGUGUGUGUGUGUGUAGCUGGGCAUCACACACAGAUCCUUACACAUGGUAGGCAUGUACUCUACCCAUGCCUGCAAGUUUUUUUUUUUUUUAUUGAUACCAGCAAUUGAACCAAGGUGUAUUUAACCACUGAGCCACAUUCCUGGCCCUUUUUAUUUCAGGGUCUGGCUAAAUCAAUGAGGCUGGCUUUUAACUUGCAAUCCUGCCUUAGCCUCCCCAGUCAUUGGGAUUGCAGGUGUCUACCAUCAUAACCAGCUAAAUGUCAUUCUUUUUUUGGGGGUCGGGGGCUACUGGAGUACUUGAACUCAGGAGUACUUGCCCACUGAACCAAGCCCCAUUUUGUAUUUUAUUUAGAGUCAGGGUCUCACUGAGUUGCUUAGUGUCUUGCUUUUGCUGAGACCGGCUUUGAACUCAGAAUUCUCCUGCCUUGGCCUCCUGAACUGCUGGGAUUACAGGCAUGUACCACCAUGCCCUGCUAAAUGUCAUUCUUAAUGAAAAACUUUAAAUGCAUUCUCUCUAGAGUUGGGAUCUAAAUAAGGGUUCCUGCUAUCAUGAGAUGCCCUGCUCAGUGCUGAAAGGAAAGAGAAAUGUGAGGUGUGAAGAUUUGAAGAGAAAGAGAAAACUCCCAUUAUUUGCAGUUGAUAUAGGACUACUUAAAAUAUAUACAUAGACUUGCACAGUAUAACAAACUAAAUCAAAAUCUUGUUUUAGUAGGACCACUGGACAUGUUCAAAUGGCUCUUCAGUUAAUAGGACCCAUCAUCUUAGAAUCUUUGGAAUCUUAUCCUCAUACCACAAGGUGGCCUCUCCCCUCAGGAAUCAUUUUUUCUUUGGUACUAGGGAUUGAACUCAGGGGCACUCAACCACUGAACCACAUCCCCAGACCUAUUUUGUAUUUUAUUUAGAGACGGGUCACUGAGUUGCUUAGCACCUCACUUUUUUGCCAAGGCUGGCUUUGAACUCGGAUCCUCCUAUCUCAACCUCCCAAGCCACUGGGAUUACAAGCAUGCGCCGCUGUGCCUGCCCCAGGAAUCUUUUUACAGCUGCUAAUGGAAUAAAAAGCUUACAAUGUGAUUGGAUUUUAUUUACUCUUCUGUCUCUCCCAACUAACCAUGAGCUCCUGGAGGACAGGAGCUUGGCUAAUGAGAGGAAGGGUUUAUGAUGUCCCCACCAAUUGGCAUUUGAGGAAAGGAAGGGUAAAGGGACCAGGGGAGGGGAGGGUGAGUGGGGUUAGAGACUCAACUAUGUGCCUAGUAGCUUCAGGGAGAAGUUGGGCCUGGAGCUUUUCUGUUUAGUGGUAAAAAUCUGAAUCUGAAACCUAAUCAAGGUUGUGAGCAAUGGAAUUUCAAGUUUUCUAAUUUACAUUGACAACAUAGAAGUGAUGUUACAAUAAGUCAUGAAUUUGAAAUCUAGAAAUCCAAGUUGAGAAAGUCAUGACAGUGAUCAAUAUUGUCAAAUAAACUCCAGGUUUGUUCAUUUUUUUUACUUUUAUGUAUUUAUAUGUGGUGCUGCGAAUUGAACCCAGUGCCAAGAGCACUCUACCACUAAGCCACAACCCCAGCC